GACGAACCGUGCGAACGUUAUUCGGAAUCACUGGGCGUAAAGGGCGCGUAGGCGGCAAGGCAAGUCAGGUGUGAAAGCCCCGAGCUUAACUCGGGAAUUGCAUCUGAAACUGCUGUGCUUGAGUUCUGGAGGGGGUAGUGGAAUUCCCAGUGUAGCGGUGAAAUGCGUAGAUAUUGGGAGGAACACCUGCGGCGAAGGCGGCUACCUGGACAGAAACUGACGCUGAGGCGCGAAAGCUAGGGGAGCGAACGGG
rnacentral:rRNA from 1 species